UCCAGACUCCUACGGGAGGCAGCAGUGGGGCCUCUUGCGCAAUGGGCGCCCGCCUGACGCCGCGCCGCCGCGUGCGGGCUGAAGGUCUUCGGCUCGUAAACCUCUGUCAGCAGGGCCGCCCGGUCACUGUGCUCCUCAGCAGUGCCUUGACGGUACCUGCCCCGGAAGCACCGGCUCACUCCGUGCCCGCCGCCGCGGUCCUCCGGAGGGUGCGCGCGUUAAUCGGAAUUACUGGGCGUAAAGCGCGCGUAGGCGGUAUUGCAAAGCAAGGGUGAAAGCCCCGCGCUCAACGGGGGAACUGCCUGUGAAACUGGCAAACUGGAGGGGGGGAGAGGAUAGGGGAAUUCCAGGGGGAGGAGUGAAAUCCGGAGAUAUCUGGAGGAACAUCAGUGGAGAAGGAGACUAUCGGGCACAUAACUGACGCGGAGGAGCGAAAGCGGGGGUAGCAAACAGGAUUAGAUACCCCGGUAA
rnacentral:rRNA from 1 species